CCACAGUUCCUAUUCGAUCGAGAAUUUCAAAUGGAUUAAUAAAUCGAAGGUUUGAGCUUUCCUCACCUCACCGAUUCUCGCUUUUGAAAUAACAACUUCUUGCACCUCCUUCUUCAAAUUCAUCAGCUCCGGUGUGUAGCUUGAACAGCUUUAACUUUAUCGAUUAAAGUCGAUUAUACUCGUAUAUCAUCACGUGGGUACCUAGAGUUUUCAUCUCCAUCUCUAUUAUUUGUAAAUUAUACGAAAUUAGUUUUUGACAAUAUCGUACUCGUACUUGUAUACGAUCUUCUACUCAACACGUCAGCUACCACGUUCGCUUUUCCAGGAUGGCAUGGUCAGAACAUGUGCUGAAAUGAGUCUCCUCUUGAGUUCUUCGAAGCUCUUCCCACAUUCCUUGCUCCAUUCGAAUUUUGUAUCUCUACGAGUCAGCUGCGUUAAUGGAAUAGCGAU
rnacentral:lncRNA from 1 species